UUGAGCCGUAUGCGGGGAAACUCGCACGUACGGUUCUUAGGGGGCUGGGGCGCAGUAAUGCGUCCUGGCUACCCGAC
rfam:Hahella chejuensis KCTC 2396, complete genome.